GAUGAACGCUAGCGGCAGGCUUAAUACAUGCAAGUCGAGGGACAGCACAGGUAGCAAUACUGGGUGGUAACCGGCAAACGGGUGCGGAACACGUACACAACCUUCCUUUAAGUGGGGGAUAGCCCAGAGAAAUUUGGAUUAAUACCCCGUAAUAUAGUUGAAUGGCAUCAUUUGAUUAUUAUAGCUACGGCGCUUAAUGAUGGGUGUGCGGCUGAUUAGAUAGUUGGCGGGGUAACGGCCCACCAAGUCUACGAUCAGUAGCUGAUGUGAGAGCAUGAUCAGCCACACGGGCACUGGGACACGGGCCCGACUCCUACGGGAGGCAGCAGUAAGGAAUAUUGGCCAAUGGACGCAAGUCUGAACCAGCCACGCCGCGUGAAGGAUUAAGGUCCUCUGGAUUGUAAACUUCUUUUAUUUGGGACGAAAAAGGGCCUUUCUAGGUCAACUGACGGUACCAGAUGAAUAAGCACCGGCUAACUCCGUGCCAGCAGCCGCCGUAAUAC
rnacentral:rRNA from 1 species